rnacentral:rRNA from 1 species
UACGUAGGGGGGCAAGCGUUGUCCGGAUUUAUUGGGCGUAAAGCAUGCGCAGGCGGUUUGUUAAGUCUGCUGUGAAAUCCCCGAGCUCAACUUGGGAAUUGCAGUGGAUACUGGCAAGCUGGAGUACGGUAGAGGAAGGUGGAAUUCCCGGUGUAGCAGUGAAAUGCGUAGAGAUCGGGAGGAACACCAGUGGCGAAGGCGGCCUUCUGGACCAGUACUGACGCUCAUGCACGAAAGCGUGGGGAGCAAACAGG